rnacentral:rRNA from 1 species
UACGGAGGGUGCAAGCGUUAUCCGGAUUCACUGGGGUUAAAGGGUGCGUAGGUGGGCAAGUAAGUCAGUGGUGAAAUCUCCGGGCUUAACCCGGAAACUGCCAUUGAUACUAUUUGUCUUGAAUACUGUGGAGGUCAGCGGAAUAUGUCAUGUAGCGGUGAAAUGCUUAGAUAUGACAUAGAACACCAAUUGCGAAGGCAGCUGGCUGCACAAAUAUUGACACUGAGGCGCGAAAGCGUGGGGAUCAAACAGG